rnacentral:rRNA from 1 species
AACGUUGGUUUACCAGCGAGUGGCGGACGGGUGAGUAACACGUAGGUAACCUGCCCCAAAGCGGGGGAUAACAUUUGGAAACAGAUGCUAAUACCGCAUAACAAUUUGAAUCGCAUGAUUCAAAUUUAAAAGAUGGCUUCGGCUAUCACUUUGGGAUGGACCUGCGGCGCAUUAGCUUGUUGGUAGGGUAACGGCCUACCAAGGCUGUGAUGCGUAGCCGAGUUGAGAGACUGAUCGGCCACAAUGGAACUGAGACACGGUCCAUACUCCUACGGGAGGCAGCAGUAGGGAAUCUUCCACAAUGGGCGCAAGCCUGAUGGAGCAACACCGCGUGAGUGAAGAAGGGUUUCGGCUCGUAAAGCUCUGUUGUUAGAGAAGAACGUGCGUGAGAGCAACUGUUCACGCAGUGACGGUAUCUAACCAGAAAGUCACGGCUAACUACGUGCCAGCAGCCGCGGUAAUACGUAGGUGGCAAGCGUUAUCCGGAUUUAUUGGGCGUAAAGCGAGCGCAGGCGGUUUGAUAAGUCUGAUGUGAAAGCCUUUGGCUUAACCAAAAGAAGUGCAUCGGAAACUGUCAGACUUUGAGUUGCAGAAGAGGACAGUGGAACU